CUAGUACUCCCUCCGUCCGGAAUUACUUGUUGUAGAAAUGAUAAAACUGAAUAUAUCUAGAAAUAAAAAAUGUCUAGAUACAUUUCUUUCCACCACAAAUAAUUCUGGACGGAGUAAGUAUUUC
rfam:Triticum aestivum genome assembly, contig: Triticum_aestivum_CS42_TGACv1_scaffold_272535_3DS